rnacentral:lncRNA from 1 species
CUUAUGGCACAUUAACUACCAACACUAACUAUUGACAAAUUAACAUUUACUUUAUGCACUUUACUUUUAUGCAAUUUACUGUUCUUGCACAUAUUAUCCAUUUGUUUUUCCCUUUGCUCAUUUGAGCACAUGUUUAUGUUAAUGCCAUUUUCCUUUUGCUCACUUGAGCACAUAAUUGUGUAUAUAUUAUGGUGCUUGUGUUUUG